rnacentral:rRNA from 1 species
GUCUGCAACCCGACUCCACGAAGCUGGAUUCGCUAGUAAUCGCGCAUCAGCCAUGGCGCGGUGAAUACGUUCCCGGGCCUUGUACACACCGCCCGUCAAGCCAUGAAAGCCGGGGGUGCCUGAAGUCCGUGACCGCGAGGGUCGGCCUAGGGUAAAACUGGUGAUUGGGGCUAAGUCGUAACAAGGUAGC